rnacentral:lncRNA from 1 species
AAUGACAAGUUAAAAGCUGGAAAAGAAACAAAACUUGGACCAAAUUUGUAGAGUAACCUCAUGAAAGAAUAUGGAUCAAACUAGGCAUGAAUCCUAUAAAUACAUAAGAAAAACAACGAACAGAAGGUGUUUUCCCUGCAAAUCCUUCCAAUAUAAGAUGUAGGCGAACUCAUAGAAACUCUCAAUAGCAUAAAUGAAGAUGAUAGAAUACAGAUGCACUAAACUACAGAAUUCUUGAGAGAAACACAACUAAUAUUUGCUAUCAAGAAACUUAGUGCACAUCUUGAGCUUCCAAUUGAUUUUAUGACUUCAAAUUCAAAGGUCAUACAUUCAUGGGUCUAAGAAGUACCUAGAAAGCAAAAAGAAAUAAAAUAGUGAAACGUCAGCAACAACAAACGAUGGUCAGCCAUACCUGGAAAAGCAGAAAUAAAUAGAAUAGUGCAAGGUCAGCAAUUUAAAACGAUGGUCAGCAACAGUGCUAACUGAAUGAAGUCAGUUUCAGCUCCAAACCAAUUCCACACAGACCCAGAUUCAAUUUCAAAUCUCAAAAACAAAUGAAAAUAGCAUUCCAAACACAAAUUGAGCUCAAAAUCAACUUUUGAAAACCAAAUUAACCAUCCUGAACCCCAUUUACAUCAAAGGCUACUCUCUAGAGAUCAAUUUCAGAAAAGAAAGACCAAUGGAAUAGUGUUUUUUUUAAAAGAACCUCGGUCGUCCUAUUUUCUCUGAUUUUUAUCUCCCAAAGUCUCCCUUGAAUGGUAAGAUAGGAUGCCUUUAUAGGCGAGAAAAGUAGGGCAGCCUAGACAAUUCAUUUUUGCACUUAGACCCUUUUCCAAUUCUCAUUUUAGUUUCUUGCUUGUUAACCAAGCUAGCCUACUUUCAGUUUUCUAGACGCUUCUUAAACAGUUACCAAAAGAUUCCCCUUUUCCUAUUUCCUAAACUACCCUCCCAACUCUGAAAAUUACACUCCCAUGCCAACCAGGGCAUAAAUACAAUUGGCCAAAACUAAUGGGUUCAGAUAAAACCCAAUUCAACCCUUCCUGGGUCUUUUAAUAUUAGGAGGCUUCUUUUAUCAGUGAAGAGCCCACGUUUCACAAGCUAAACCAUAGAGUCUCAGGGACUCGUGAAGUUUGGGUUUUAAGCAAAAUGAAAACAAAGGAAAAAGAAUAAAAGCAAGUUUUCAAAUUUAACAUCUGAAGCCAUUAUUGACUUCACAAGCUUGGGACCAAACAGGCAAGCAUGAAAAAUGAAACAAAAAUGCAAAAUAACAGUCUAAACAGAUGAGGACACAAUGUAAAAAAAAAAGGACAAUAACGACCUAAGUGAAGAGAAUACCAUCUCUAGAGACGACGAAUCGUAGCUUGACCAGACCUUGACAACUUCGUGAUGGGUCGGAACUCACAUUAUUCAACGGCUCUUUGCCCAAACGCCAUUAACUAAUGUCAACUUUGACUCAAAGCAUGCCAAAAAUCAUCGACAAAAUUAAGAAGUGAGAUCUUGACAAUUUCGACUACUUUGGAUUUGAGAUUUAAGGGAUUCCAUAGGGUAUUUUGGGAAAUGGGGGCUGGGGGUAUGAUUUAGACAGGUUUGGCGGUCGCCUGACAUGGAUUUGAGGUGGUUUGAGCUCUGUCGCUGCCGAAGAUGGGGAAGGGGUGUGGGGGUGGCGAUGGAUCGAAUGGGAUAGACAAGGUACAUGGGUGUUUGGAGGAAAUGAGGAGUCUCUGACCCUUUUUGGACAUAUUAAUGGUUUGAAGAGAUGGGUUUCAGACCAUUUAAUGCAUCAAAA